UUUUUCCCUCUGACCUUGUUUCUCUUUCCCCCGAUUUCUUCUUCUUCUUUUUUCCCCGAUUUCUUCAGCUGCUGCUCUGUCCUACUCGCUCCAUCUUCAUCCCUCCUCCAUCUGCAUCGUCGUCCCUGUCAACGAAGCGCCGAACGAGGCAAACAUUGUUGUCCCUGCAUCCGAGCAUCUCAUUAAUGUUCUGGGCACGACAAAGUCGUAACGUUUGGGCAAAUUUGGGGAAGCAAGAACUUCCGGUGUCUGGGCAGAUCUGUAAACUUUCCCUUUUGGUUACUGAGGCAUACAAAGAUGCACACCAGAAAAGUGUCUUGGCUAUUGAAGGAAAGAAUGAGCGAUCUUGGCCAGAGUUUAGGAAUGCCUCAAGGCCUCAAUGAUGUGCUGAAGUAAUUAUUCCCCUCCCCCCCCCUGUACUUGUCUAGUCAAUUUUGUAUACAAACCAGACAUAAGUGCUAAAUUUGUAAGGGCGAUAAGUUAAGCAUUGUUUUAUUUACUCUUUGAAUGGAAAGAGAGGGUUUUGAACUGAUAUAUCUAUGGUCUCAAUACCAAUAAUGAAUGUUGCAUAUUUGUUUCA